rnacentral:rRNA from 1 species
UACGUAGGGGGCAAGCGUUGUCCGGAAUCACUGGGCGUAAAGAGUGCGUAGGCGGUUGUGUAAGUCUGGAGUGAAAGUCCAAGGCUCAACCUUGGGAAUGCUUCGGAAACUGGAUGACUUGAGUGCUGGAGAGGCAAGGGGAAUUCCACGUGUAGCGGUGAAAUGCGUAGAUAUGUGGAGGAAUACCAGUGGCGAAGGCGCCUUGCUGGACAGAAACUGACGCUGAGGCACGAAAGCGUGGGGAGCAAACAGG